rnacentral:rRNA from 1 species
GACGAAGGAUGCAAGCGUUAUCCGGAUUCAUUGGGUUUAAAGGGAGCGUAGGCGGCCUUGUAAGUCAGUGGUGAAAUCUCUCGGCUUAACCGAGAAAUUGCCAUUGAUACUGCAGGGCUUGAGUACAGUUGCCGUUGGCGGAAUAUGACAUGUAGUGGUGAAAUACAUAGAGAUGUCAUAGAACACCGAUUGCGAAGGCAGCUAACGAAACUGUAACUGACGCUGAGGCUCGAAAGUGCGGGGAUCAGACAGG